UACGGAGGGUGCAAGCGUUAUCCGGAUUCACUGGGUUUAAAGGGUGCGUAGGCGGCUAUAUAAGUCAGUGGUGAAAGCCCGCAGCUCAACUGCGGAAUUGCCAUUGAAACUGCAUAGCUUGAAUCUGGUUGAAGCGGGCGGAAUACAUCAUGUAGCGGUGAAAUGCUUAGAUAUGAUGUAGAACACCGAUUGCGAAGGCAGCUCACUAAGCCAACAUUGACGCUGAGGCACGAAAGCGUGGGUAGCGAACAGG
rnacentral:rRNA from 1 species